AUUGAACGCUGGCGGCAGGCCUAACACAUGCAAGUCGAGCGGAUGAAGGGAGCUUGCUCCUGGAUUCAGCGGCGGACGGGUGAGUAAUGCCUAGGAAUCUGCCUGGUAGUGGGGGAUAACGUCCGGAAACGGGCGCUAAUACCGCAUACGUCCUGAGGGAGAAAGUGGGGGAUCUUCGGACCUCACGCUAUCAGAUGAGCCUAGGUCGGAUUAGCUAGUUGGUGGGGUAAAGGCCUACCAAGGCGACGAUCCGUAACUGGUCUGAGAGGAUGAUCAGUCACACGGGAACUGAGACACGGUCCAGACUCCUACGGGAGGCAGCAGUGGGGAAUAUUGGACAAUGGGCGAAAGCCUGAUCCAGCCAUGCCGCGUGCGUGAAGAAGGUCUUCGGAUUGUAAAGCACUUUAAGUUGGGAGGAAGGGCAGUAAGUUAAUACCUUGCUGUUUUGACGUUACCAACAGAAUAAGCACCGGCUAACUUCGUG
rnacentral:rRNA from 1 species